AGCUGGCCCAAGUGCAGUGGUGUUCACAACUAAGUGAUCACAACAUUACAGAUUUGUUUCUUCUCCGUUCCCACUGCUUCAUUUAACCAGUCUAAA
ensembl:Y_RNA Y_RNA Y RNA